AAACCUGUGGGCCUGUGGCUCUGAAUUUUUGCUCCUAUUCUGCAUUUAGUCUGCUUUUUCUUCCACAGGACAGCUCUUCAAGAUUUUUGAUGACAGUCUCGUUACUCACAGACCAUUUUCUCAAGUGGCUCUUAUCCGUUUCUCACGUGGGGUCCAGAAUCUUCCUCGGCCCAGUUAUUGACUGCUUUUCCAAAAGGCACUGAAAUCCUAAGUAACGUCACGGGAGGUGAGGGAUGGCCCUUGAGAUCAAGAGGUUGGAAACUGCUACUCUAGGCUGUACUGGACACACCUAAACUGUGCCACCCAGAGCUAAGCUCAGCCUUCCUGGGUUGAAGCUCCAGCACUGAUGUCUCUCGUGAAGCCAGGAGUCAUUAACUUACUAAUUCCAGGUAAAACACAGCAAUAGCAUUUCAAGGUGGAGCCAACCAAAACGGAAGUGGAAUGGCUCUCUUCCUCCCUUCUCCCUCUGCAUCCCCU
rnacentral:lncRNA from 1 species